UACGAAGGGGGCUAGCGUUGCUCGGAAUCACUGGGCGUAAAGGGUGCGUAGGCGGGUCUUUAAGUCAGGGGUGAAAUCCUGGAGCUCAACUCCAGAACUGCCUUUGAUACUGAAGAUCUUGAGUUCGGGAGAGGUGAGUGGAACUGCGAGUGUAGAGGUGAAAUUCGUAGAUAUUCGCAAGAACACCAGUGGCGAAGGCGGACUCACUGGCCCGAUACUGACGCUGAGGCGCGAAAGCGU
rnacentral:rRNA from 1 species